rnacentral:rRNA from 1 species
AGCGAACGCUGGCGGCAGGCCUAACACAUGCAAGUCGAACGAACUCUUCGGAGUUAGUGGCGGACGGGUGAGUAACACGUGGGAACGUGCCCUUUGGUUCGGAAUAACUCAGGGAAACUUGUGCUAAUACCGAAUGUGCUCUUCGGGGGAAAGAUUUAUCGCCAUUAGAGCGGCCCGCGUCUGAUUAGCUAGUUGGUGAGGUAACGGCUCACCAAGGCGAUGAUCAGUAGCUGGUCUGAAAGGAUGACCAGCCACACUGGGACAGACACACGGCCCAGACUCCUGCGGGAAGCAGCAGUGGGGAAUCUUGCGCAAUGGGCGAAAGCCGGACGCAGCCAUGCCGCGUGAAUGAGGAAGAUCUUAGGAUUGUAAAAUUCUUUCACCGGUGACGAUAAUGACGGUACCCUAAGAAGAAGCCCCGGCUAACUUCGUG